CUCAGGUCUUUGUCGGACAGCUUCUGUGGAAGUCCUCCUGAGUCAGCCCUGCAGAUUCCUCCUGGAGUUGGACUAGAUGACUCUGGAGGUCCCUUCCAACCCUAGGAUUCUAUGAACGGUACAGCCAGGAGCGCCCACAAGGCAAAGAUUUCCACGGCCGAUUUAAAGCAACAUUUGCUCAGCUCCCAGCCAUUGACGCCGCCCCGGUACUUGAGAUUCAUCAAGAACAUUUUCAUCAUCUGGACCCAUGGAAAGGAGCCUCUUGGCAGCGUCCGUCAUGACUCUGAACAACGUUCACCCCACCCGCAAGCAGACUCCAGGGAGAGAGUUGCAGAUCUUGACCUCCGGACUCUCCCUGGACUAGAAAUAUUUAACGCUAAGCCUGCUUUGCUGCUCCUCCGAGGUUGGACGUGGCGCGAUGACUCUUGCCUGGGGAUUCUCCUCCACCGGCCUCUCGUUGCAACAUCCCUCCUUCCCACCCCCUUUCUGUAUCUGCAGCUUCUGCCCGACAGACGCACCAUGUGCGCUUCUGAUGAAGGGAGCUCUGACUCACAAAUGCCUCGGCUGGA